UACGAAGGGGGCUAGCGUUGCUCGGAACCACUGGGCGUAAAGGGUGCGUAGGCGGGGCUUUAAGUCAGGGGUGAAAUCCUGGAGCUCAACUCCAGAACUGCCUUUGAUACUGAAGAUCUUGAGUUCGGGAGAGGUGAGUGGAACUGCGAGUGUAGAGGUGAAAUUCGUAGAUAUCAUCAGGAACACCGGUGGCGAAGGCGGCUCACUGGGUCUCAACUGACGCUGAGGUACGAAAGCCAGGGUAGCGAACGGG
rnacentral:rRNA from 1 species